AGUUUGAUCCGGCUCAGAUUGAACGCUGGCGGCAGGCCUAACACAUGCAAGUCGAGCGGUAGAGAGAAGCUUGCUUCUCUUGAGAGCGGCGGACGGGUGAGUAAUGCCUAGGAAUCUGCCUGGUAGUGGGGGAUAACGUUCGGAAACGGACGCUAAUACCGCAUACGUCCUACGGGAGAAAGCAGGGGACCUUCGGGCCUUGCGCUAUCAGAUGAGCCUAGGUCGGAUUAGCUAGUUGGUGAGGUAAUGGCUCACCAAGGCGACGAUCCGUAACUGGUCUGAGAGGAUGAUCAGUCACACUGGAACUGAGACACGGUCCAGACUCCUACGGGAGGCAGCAGUGGGGAAUACUGGACAAUGGGCGAAAGCCUGAUCCAGCCAUGCCGCGUGUGUGAAGAAGGUCUUCGGAUUGUAAAGCACUUUAAGUUGGGAGGAAGGGUUGUAGAUUAAUACUCUGCAAUUUUGACGUUACCGACAGAAUAAGCACCGGCUAACUCUGUGCCAGCAGCCGCGGUAAUACAGAGGGUGCAAGCGUUAAUCGGAAUUACUGGGCGUAAAGCGCGCGUAGGUGGUUUGUUAAGUUGGAUGUGAAAUCCCCGGGCUCAACCUGGGAACUGCAUUCAAAACUGACUGACUAGAGUAUGGUAGAGGGUGGUGGAAUUUCCUGUGUAGCGGUGAAAUGCGUAGAUAUAGGAAGGAACACCAGUGGCGAAGGCGACCACCUGGACUAAUACUGACACUGAGGUGCGAAAGCGUGGGGAGCAAACAGGAUUAGAUACCCUGGUAGUCCACGCCGUAAACGAUGUCAACUAGCCGUUGGAAGCCUUGAGCUUUUAGUGGCGCAGCUAACGCAUUAAGUUGACCGCCUGGGGAGUACGGCCGCAAGGUUAAAACUCAAAUGAAUUGACGGGGGCCCGCACAAGCGGUGGAGCAUGUGGUUUAAUUCGAAGCAACGCGAAGAACCUUACCAGGCCUUGGCAUCCAAUGAACUUUCUAGAGAUAGAUUGGUGCCUUCGGGAACAUUGAGACAGGUGCUGCAUGGCUGUCGUCAGCUCGUG
rnacentral:rRNA from 1 species